UACGUAGGGGGCAAGCGUUGUCCGGAAUUAUUGGGCGUAAAGCGCGCGCAGGCGGUUCAUUAAGUCUGGUGUUUAAGCCCAGGGCUCAACCCUGGUUCGCACUGGAAACUGAUGGACUUGAGUGUAGGAGAGGAAAGUGGAAUUCCACGUGUAGCGGUGAAAUGCGUAGAGAUGUGGAGGAACACCCAUGGCGAAGGCGACUUUCUGGCCUAUAACUGACGCUGAGGCGCGAAAGCGUGGGGAGCAAACAGG
rnacentral:rRNA from 1 species